UUCCACUCAGUUAAUUCAAAAGAAUUAAGUUUCAGAACCAGGCAGAAAGUCAAGACCUCAUUUUUAGCAAAGUAGAAGCGGCACAUUUUUAAACGCAGCCUGUUUGGAAUAACUUCGGAAUAGCAACCAUCACUGGGAAGUUAUUGAAUACCAUCAUCCCCUGGCCAGCAACUUGUGCCACACGCAGACCUCAUGACAGAGCGACGACAAAAAUGCCAGGGCUAAUUUCUACAGCGCGUUGCAUCAAUCCAGACAGCAAACCGAGUAAGGAAUGUGUCAGGGACUACGAGAACGUUCCCAUUCCUUGUGUUUCUAUGUGAAAUGCAUUUCUAGCCACACCCAGAAAGAACUUGUCUCUCCAGACACUACGCAGUGGGACCUUUCUUUAGGUAAUUACUGAAGCAGCUGAAAAUAUGGGGAAAUGAAGCAAAUACAGGCCCUGAUCCAAAAGCCACUGAACUCAGCAGAAGCACUGGAGUCAUGUGUCAUGAAUUACAAUUCACAAAUGCAA